UGUGUGUGGAAAGAGCGAGAC
rnacentral:miRNA from 1 species